AUUGAACGCUGGCGGCAUGCCUUACACAUGCAAGUCGAACGGUAACGCGGGGCAACCUGGCGACGAGUGGCGAACGGGUGAGUAACGCAUCGGAACGUGCCCAGUAGUGGGGGAUAGCCCGGCGAAAGCCGGAUUAAUACCGCAUACGACCUACGGGUGAAAGCGGGGGAUCGCAAGACCUCGCGCUAUUGGAGCGGCCGAUGUCAGAUUAGGUAGUUGGUGGGGUAAAGGCCUACCAAGCCUGCGAUCUGUAGCUGGUCUGAGAGGACGACCAGCCACACUGGGACUGAGACACGGCCCAGACUCCUACGGGAGGCAGCAGUGGGGAAUUUUGGACAAUGGGCGCAAGCCUGAUCCAGCCAUGCCGCGUGCGGGAAGAAGGCCUUCGGGUUGUAAACCGCUUUUGUCAGGGAAGAAACGCUCCGGGCUAACACCCUGGGGUAAUGACGGUACCUGAAGAAUAAGCACCGGCUAACUACGUGCCAGCCGCCGCCGUAAGAC
rnacentral:rRNA from 1 species